rnacentral:rRNA from 1 species
UACCUGCAGCUCGAGUGGUAACCGCUAUUAUUGGGCCUAAAGCGUCCGUAGCCGGUUUGGUAAAUAUCUGGGUAAAUCGUGAGGCUUAACUUCACGAAUUUCGGAUAGACUGCCAGACUUGGGAUCGGGGGAGGUCAGAGGUACUCCAGGGGUAGCGGUGAAAUGUUGUAAUCCUUGGAGGACCACCGGUAGCGAAGGCGUCUGACUAGAACGAGUCCGACGGUGAGGGACGAAGCCCUGGGGCGCAAACCGGAUUAGAUACCCGGGUAGUCCAGGGUGUAAACGAUGUGGGCUUUGUAUUGGAGGUCCCACGUGGGCGUCCAGUGCAGAAGAGAAGUUGUUAAGCCCACCGCCUGGGAAGUACAGUCGCAAGGCUGAAACUUAAAGGAAUUGGCGGGGAGCACAGCAACGGGAGGAGCGUGCGGUUU